UACGUAGGCAGCGAGCGUUGUUCGGAGUUACUGGGCGUAAAGGGUGUGUAGGCGGUUGUUUAAGUUUGGUGUGAAAUCUCCCGGCUCAACUGGGAGGGUGCGCCGAAUACUGAAUGACUAGAGUGCGGGAGAGGAAAGUGGAAUUCCAGGUGUAGCGGUGAAAUGCGUAGAUAUCUGGAGGAAUACCGGUGGCGAAGGCGGCAUCCUGGACCGACAUUGACGCUGAGGAGCGAAAGCUAGGGGGAGCAAACGGG
rnacentral:rRNA from 1 species